AUGCAAGGUGUUCAACCGUUGGGCAAAGAAACCGAAGCGGUUGGUGUGCUAGAAUCUAGCAUGCACUCCUUGAGCAUUGCUGAAGAGGAGCAGCAUGACUCUCUGGAUGAGGAGGAGGCGAAUUAUAUGAGGAAUAGCAUUAUUGACAUGGAUGAUUGCUGGGAGGAUCCUAAUCAGAAGGGCUUGGAAGAAGAUCGGGACAGCUCUGAUGAAGACUAUAGUCCUUUUCUUCAUCUACGGUAUGUUUCAGUUUCUAGUUGCAUUUCAGGUUGAACUACUGCUAUGUUGAAGGGUGCAAUCACAAAUAUUUUGGUCUUUCAGGAGAAGACAACGUUUUAGGAGAACAUGAUGCAGUUGUUCCUUUUUGAUCUUCAAAUUGAUUC
rnacentral:lncRNA from 1 species